GGAUUAGAUACCCUGGUAGUCCAUGCCGUAAACGAUGUGUGUUAGACGUUGGAAAUUUAUUUUCAGUGUCGCAGCGAAAGCAAUAAACACACCGCCUGGGGAGUACGACCGCAAGGUUAAAACUCAAAUGAAUUGACGGGGACCCGCACAAGUAGUGGAGCAUGUGGUUUAAUUCGAAGAUACGCGCAGAACCUUACCAACACUUGACAUGUUCGUCGCGACUCUAAGAGAUUAGAGUUUUCGGUUCGGCCGGACGAAACACAGGUGCUGCAUGGCUGUCGUCAGCUCGUGCCG
rnacentral:rRNA from 1 species